UACGUAGGGGGCAAGCGUUAUCCGGAUUUACUGGGUGUAAAGGGAGCGUAGACGGUAAUGCAAGUCUGGAGUGAAAACCCGGGGCUCAACCCCGGGACUGCUUUUGAAACUGUCGGACUAGAGUGUCGGAGGGGUAAGUGGAAUUCCUAGUGUAGCGGUGAAAUGCGUAGAUAUUAGGAGGAACACCAGUGGCGAAGGCGGCUUGCUGGACGGUAACUGACGUUGAGGCUCGAAAGCGUGGGGAGCAAACAGG
rnacentral:rRNA from 1 species